UCCCUGGUGGUCUAGUGGUUAAGACACUGCCCUUCCAAGGCAAGGGGCCUGGGGUUCAAUCCCUGGUUGGGGAA
rnacentral:tRNA from 1 species